ensembl:lncRNA novel transcript
AGUAUUCAUAAGUGAUACAGGAUUCAGAAAGAAAAUUUAAUUGAAAUUUAUACAACGAAUUUGGAAUUUUCCUAAAGAUUUGGCAAAACACUUCUCUACUUCAAGUUUUAUCACGGACCAGGACUGAUCAACUAAAUGCGAAUAGAUGUGUUCUAUAUCAGCUUCCCUAGAACACAAAGCCUGAAUCAAGGAUGAAAGGAAGAUGCUUUUUGGCAAGGCAUAAAUUCAGAGGAUCCAGGAUGAGGACAAAGGCAAGUGAGCUAUGCAAGAUGUAAAAUGAUGUUUCAACAACACAAAGCUGAUUGUUUGGCAGUUGCAUCUAUUUCAUGCAUAGAACUUCUCCAGAUGGACUACCAAGAAACACUGUGCUUCAAAGAAUUUGAUAAGGACUAUGAAAGGACAAGGUUGCUGGGUUUCCUGGGCUACAUGGCUGAAAAUAGCCAAUGACAAGAGCACCUGGGUUUAUAUUCCAUGAGUUUCAAGAGACAGGUAAAAUAUAUAUAUUUUUUUUCUGAAAUCAACUUUCAAGGAAAGACAUUGAUUAGUCCAAGUUGGAUCAGGUAUCUACACCUAGUAAAAUUAGUGGAAUCAGAGGCUUUGGGUAUGGAGUAGAUAGCAUGUGUCAUGUGAUGAGCAGAAUUACCAAAAGUGAUCCUGAGAGCUCCUUUAUAAUUGCCUGAACAAUGAACCGGCUAGGCCCAGAGUUGGGGGAGGGCAGGACAAUGGGGAGAAAGGUGAAAGGAAGAUUCCCCCUUUCUUCUCUCAGUAGGGGCUGCUGCACUCCCUUCUCUCUAUAGGAGGUAACUCCCAUUAUCUCUCAAGUUCCCAAGUGUUGGAUAGUUGGAAUUACUAAAUUCCUGAUGUGAAGGGCUGGCGCUCAAAUCCACAUUGUCUAGUACCAAAGUACACUGGUUAUCCUCCACUGAUGGUUGCCCUCAUGAUUUCUCUAUAAGAGGAACACGCCCAGGAGCAUGAAGUUCCCCUAAUGGGACACAGAUAACUCCACAUUGCCUGUCCAGUAGGGUAUCCUGGCCCUGGGAAGUCUCUCUGUGGGAAAAAGAGUGGAAAAAGUCUAGACCGUCUCAGCUAAUCCUGUCCUUGUAACUUUCUUUUUUGCUUUAUAAAGCCUAUUCCUUAAACCAGUGA